GAACGCUGGCGGCAUGCUUCAACAUGCAAGUCGAACGAGAUCUUCGGAUCUAGUGGCGCACGGGUGAGUAACGCGUGGGAACCUACCUUUCAGUUCGGGAUAACAGUUGGAAACGACUGCUAAUACCGUAUACGCCCUCCGGGGGAAAGGUCAGCCGCUGAAAGAGGGGCCCGCGUCUGAUUAGCUUGUUGGUAGGGUAAAAGCCUACCAAGGCUUCGAUCAGUAGCUGGUCUGAGAGGAUGAUCAGCCACACUGGGACUGAGACACGGCCCAGACUCCUACGGGAGGCAGCAGUCGGGAAUAUUGGACAAUGGAGGAAACUCUGAUCCAGCAAUGCCGCGUGUGUGAUGAAGGCCCUAGGGUUGUAAAGCACUUUCAACGGUGAAGAUGAUGACGGUAGCCGUAGAAGAAGCCCCGGC
rnacentral:rRNA from 1 species